rnacentral:rRNA from 1 species
CAGCAGCCGCGGUAAUACGAAGGUCCCGAGCGUUGUUCGGAAUCACUGGGCGUAAAGGGAGCGUAGGCGGCGUGGUAAGUCAGAUGUGAAAUCCCGGGGCUCAACCCCGGAACUGCAUCCGAUACUGCCAUGCUAGAGGAUUGGAGAGGUAGCUGGAAUUCUUGGUGUAGCAGUGAAAUGCGUGGAGAUCAAGAGGAACACUCGUGGCGAAAGCGGCCAUCUGGGACAACACUGACGCUGAGGCACGAAAGCGUGGGGAGCAAACAGGAUUAGAUACCCCGGUAGUCCCUGUCUCUUAUAC